rnacentral:lncRNA from 1 species
UGUUGCCACGGAGAUGACCUCUGACCCCGAAAGCAUGAGUGGCCCCUUUGCGGGUUGCCUUGGUUGCUAUGGCAACUGCAGUAUCCAGGAUCUUGGCGCUGGAGCAACUUGGGAGCAAGGGCUAGGGAACAGCUACUCUGCCCUCUUCUUUCUAGGAUGGGAACAUGGUUGUUCUGUGGAGCCCAGACUGCCCUAUCGAAGAUCCAAGGAAAUAAGUAACAAGUCAAAAACUUUGACAGAUUUGUAA